UUCCUCAGUAGCUCAGUGGUAGAGCGAUCGGCUGUUAACCGAUUGGUCGUAGGUUCAAAUCCUUCCUGGGGAGUCC
rnacentral:tRNA from 1 species